CAUCCAGCAGUGGAUUUACCAUGUGCGGUGGAUCAACAGAGAGUUGUCGCUCAAUUGGAUAACAGUCCGUGAACUACAAACGUAGUUUAAAACAUCAUUAACGCUGAAUCGAAUGAGCACCCACGCCUCGUUCUGACACGACAUUUGCCUGCGUAACAAUUCGCUCAACGCGGCGAUGCGUCGUGCACGACCGACUCAACGCGUUUCCCGUGCUUGGCGCCAUCGCUACGCAGCUUACCCAGGGCACCGUCGACGGUGAAAGUGUCCGCCGCGCGUGUCUGGGUGCUGGAGCGAUGGCAGGGCGGCACGCGGCUCGCGGCCCACGGCUCCGAAGCCACUGCCACCCAAGUUCGACUUCCAACCGCGGUCAGUGACGAGUGACAUCGCUGGACCGGUCCUGGGCCCUUUCGAGAUUGACUCGGCCUCACACGAAGGUCUGGUCGCAAAUGUAUGCGCAUCACCAUUGAGAAGACUAAGACGGCCGGGCGUGGUGGUGUAAGCCACACCACCCCAUCGUGCACCGGGCCAUCCUUAACAGGCGCUCGCUAACAGCGCCUGCCCCACAGUCUGUACGGCGGAUAAUGGGCAAAAGGCGCAGCCCUGCAAAUGUUUUGCUCACACCACUGCUGGCGGAAGGGCCCCCACUGCAGAGUUUUUCUCAACGGUAUGUUGGCCUACUCUUCCCAGCUGGCCAGAUGUCUUAAAAGAGUUUUGCGUACCCACACUUUACCCCCCACAAAUGGGUAAACCACCAACUGUGGUAGCUCUGUGGUGUCCACUUCCACGGGCCACUCUCCGACACGAAGGGUCGCAAUGCUCUUUGAAAGGCCCGAUUGGAUACUCCCUUUCAUGACGUGUCCUUCCGAUGAGCACGGUUGGCUAUGUGUGGUGCGAAAGAAGUUCAACUUACAUUCAAACACUGAUAGCACCAUUGUAAUAUUUGGGGAGAAGACAAAAAAUUAAAAUGUAAAAUAAUUAAGGAAUUCUUCUGCGGCAGCAUUUGCAUGGAUUUUUCUCUGGGUCCUCCGGUUACUAGCUCCACAUCGAGAGUGGUUGGCUGCUAUACAUUUCCACGUGAUAAGCCACUUCGUUGAGCUAUCAUUUGUGGCCAGCUCGCUUCUGAAAAGGACCUAAUAAUUAAGUGGGCCUUACCUGGUAAAACAUUUAUAUAUAUUAAAACCUGGAUGGAGAAAGUAAUUAUUUAGUCUUGGUUUGUAUGUUGAACUUUUUUAGCACCGUACGUAUCCAACCGUGCUAAUCGGAGGUGCGAUUUCAGCCGGGUCUGAGCCCUGGGCUGGCUCAGACCCACCGCGUCCCUCAGAGGGUGGCGAUCUGAACGCGUGACUCGAGAGCACCCAGGCGUCACGUGUGCAACGCACACAUUCCUUUCCCUUGGCACACACGAACUGCACACGGGCAGCACACGUGGGCAGCACACGCGGGCAGCACACGCGGGCAGCACA